GAUGAACGCUGGCGGCGUGCCUAAUACAUGCAAGUCGAGCGAACAGACGAGGAGCUUACUCCUCUGACGUUAGCGGCGGACGGAUGAGUAACACGUGGAUAACCUACCUAUAAGACUGGGAUAACUUCGGGAAACCGGAGCUAAUACCGGAUAAUAUAUUGAACCGCAUGGUUCAAUAGUGAAAGACGGUUUUGCUGUCACUUAUAGAUGGAUCCGCGCCGCAUUAGCUAGUUGGUAAGGUAACGGCUUACCAAGGCAACGAUGCGUAGCCGACCUGAGAGGGUGAUCGGCCACACUGGAACUGAGACACGGUCCAGACUCCUACGGGAGGCAGCAGUAGGGAAUCUUCCGCAAUGGGCGAAAGCCUGACGGAGCAACGCCGCGUGAGUGAUGAAGGUCUUCGGAUCGUAAAACUCUGUUAUUAGGGAAGAACAAAUGUGUAAGUAACUAUGCACGUCUUGACGGUACCUAAUCAGAAAGCCACGGCUAACUACGUG
rnacentral:rRNA from 1 species